rfam:Microgenomates (Daviesbacteria) bacterium GW2011_GWA2_40_9 TT29_C0008, whole genome shotgun sequence.
GGCGCGUUCGUCUAGAGGCCUAGGACACUGGGUUUUCAUCCCAGGAAUCAGGGGUUCGAAUCCCCUACGCGCUA